rnacentral:rRNA from 1 species
GAUGAACGCUGGCGGUGUGCCUAAAACAUGCAAGUCGAACGAGAUCUUCGGAUCUAGUGGCGGACGGGUGAGUAAUACAUUGGUAUCUGCCCCAAAGUGGGGGAUAACCGCCCGAAAGGGUGGCUAAUACCCCAUAGUCCCGCAAGGGUAAAGCAGUAAUGCGCUUUGGGAGGAGCCUAUGUCCUAUCAGCUUGUUGGUGAGGUAACUGCUCACCAAGGCGACGACGGGUAGCUGGAUCGAGAGGUCGACCAGCCACACUGGGACUGAGAUACGGCCCAGACUCCUACGGGAGGCAG